ACAUUGGUGGUUCAGUGGUAGAAUUCUUGCCUUCCAUUCAGGAUACCUGGGUUCCCAGUAAAUGUG
rnacentral:tRNA from 1 species